rnacentral:rRNA from 1 species
GACGAACGCUGGCGGCGUGCUUAACACAUGCAAGUCAAACGGAAAGGCCCUUCGGGGUACUCGAGUGGCGAACGGGUGAGUAACACGUGGGUGAUCUGCCCUGCACUUUGGGAUAAGCCUGGGAAACUGGGUCUAAUACCGAAUAGGACCACGCGCUUCAUGGUGUGUGGUGGAAAGCUUUUGCGGUGUGGGAUGGGCCCGCGGCCUAUCAGCUUGUUGGUGGGGUAAUGGCCUACCAAGGCGACGACGGGUAGCCGGCCUGAGAGGGUGACCGGCCACACUGGGACUGAGAUACGGCCCAGACUCCUACGGGAGGCAGCAGUGGGGAAUAUUGCACAAUGGGCGCAAGCCUGAUGCAGCGACGCCGCGUGAGGGAUGACGGCCUUCGGGUUGUAAACCUCUUUCACCAGGGACGAAGCGUAAGUGACGGUACCUGGAGAAGAAGCACCGGCCAACUACGUG